GAUGAACGCUAGCGGCAGGCCUAAUACAUGCAAGUCGAGGGGCAGCGCGGUAGCAAUACUGGCGGCGACCGGCGCACGGGUGCGUAACACGUAUGCAACCUACCUUCAACUGGAGGAUAGCCCGGGGAAACUCGGAUUAAUACUCCAUAACACAGGGAUCCCGCAUGGGAAUAUUGUUAAAGCUACGGCGGUUGAAGAUGGGCAUGCGUUCGAUUAGCUAGUUGGUGUAGGUAACGGCUCACCAAGGCUACGAUCGAUAGGGGGUCUGAGAGGAUGAUCCCCCACACUGGUACUGAGAUACGGACCAGACUCCUACGGGAGGCAGCAGUAGGGAAUAUUGGUCAAUGGGGCGCAAGCCUGAACCAGCCAUGCCGCGUGCAGGAAGAAGGCCCUCUGGGUUGUAAACUGCUUUUGAUAGGGAACAAAUGCCACUUGCGAGUGGAGCUGAGUGUACCUAUAGAAUAAGCACCGGCUAACUCCGUGCCAGCAGCCGCGGUAA
rnacentral:rRNA from 1 species